GAUGAACGCCGACAGAAUGCUUAACACAUGCAAGUCAACUUGAACUUCGGUUUGGGUGGCGGACGGGUGAGUAACGCGUAAAGAACUUGCCUCACAGCUAGGGACAACAUUUGGAAACGAAUGCUAAUACCUGAUAUUAUGAUUUUAGGGCAUCCUAGAAUUAUGAAAGCUAUAUGCGCUGUGAGAGAGCUUUGCGUCCCAUUAGCUAGUUGGAGAGGUAACGGCUCACCAAGGCGAUGAUGGGUAGCCGGCCUGAGAGGGUGAACGGCCACAAGGGGACUGAGACACGGCCCUUACUCCUACGGGAGGCAGCAGUGGGGAAUAUUGGACAAUGGACCAAGAGUCUGAUCCAGCAAUUCUGUGUGCACGAUGAAGUUUUUCGGAAUGUAAAGUGCUUUCAGUUGGGAAGAAAAAAAUGACGGUACCAACAGAAGAAGUGACGGCUAAAUACGUG
rnacentral:rRNA from 1 species